AAGUACCCUUCGGGGGACGGACAGUGGCGGACGGGUGAGUAACACGUGGGAACAUGCCUUUCGGUACGGAACAACGUUUGGAAACGAACGCUAAUACCGUAUACGCCCUUAGGGGGAAAGAUUAAUCGCCGAAAGAUUGGCCCGCGUUAGAUUAGCUAGUUGGUAAGGUAAUGGCUUACCAAGGCUACGAUCUAUAGCUGAUUUGAGAGGAUGAUCAGCCACACUGGGACUGAGACACGGCCCAGACUCC
rnacentral:rRNA from 1 species